rnacentral:rRNA from 1 species
AUUGAACGCUAGCGGGAUGCUUUACACAUGCAAGUAGAACGGAGUGGCGGACGUGUGAGUAAUAUCUCGGAACGUGCCCAGUAGCGGGGGAUAACUACUCGAAAGAUUGGCUAAUACCGCAUACUAUCGGACCGGCCGAUAUCGGAUUAGCUAGUUGGCGGGGUAACGGCUCACCAAGGCAACGAUCCAGAGCGGGUUUGAGAGGACGACCAGCCACACUGGGACUGAGACACGGCCCAGACUCCGACGUGAGGCAGCAGUGGGGAAGUUUGGACAAUGGGGGAAACCCUGAGCCAGCCAUGCCGCGUGUAUGAUGAAGGCCUUCGGGUUGUAAAGUACUUUUGGCAGAGAAGCGGUAUCUGCAGAAUAAGCACCGGCUAACUACGUGCCAGCAGCCGCGGUAAUUC